AUUGAACGCUGGCGGCAUGCCUUACACAUGCAAGUCGAACGGCAGCAUAGGAGCUUGCUCCUGAUGGCGAGUGGCGAACGGGUGAGUAAUAUAUCGGAACGUGCCCUAGAGUGGGGGAUAACUAGUCGAAAGACUAGCUAAUACCGCAUACGAUCUACGGAUGAAAGUGGGGGAUCGCAAGACCUCAUGCUCCUGGAGCGGCCGAUAUCUGAUUAGCUAGUUGGUGGGGUAAAAGCUCACCAAGGCGACGAUCAGUAGCUGGUCUGAGAGGACGACCAGCCACAAUGGGACUGAGACACGGACCAGACUCCGACGGGAGGAAGCAGUGGGGAAUUUUGGACAAUGGGGGCAACCCUGAUCCAGCAAUGCCGCGUGAGUGAAGAAGGCCUUCGGGUUGUAAAGCUCUUUUGUCAGGGAAGAAACGGUUCUGGAUAAUACCUGGGACUAAUGACGGUACCUGAAGAAUAAGCACCGGCUAACUACGUGCCAGCCGCCGCUGUAA
rnacentral:rRNA from 1 species